GAUGAACGCUGGCGGCGUGCCUAAUACAUGCCAGUCGAGCGAACAGAUAAGGAGCUUGCUCCUUUGACGUUAGCGGCGGACGGGUGAGUAACACGUGGGUAACCUACCUAUAAGACUGGAAUAACUCCGGGAAACCGGGGCUAAUGCCGGAUAACAUUUAGAACCGCAUGGUUCUAAAGUGAAAGAUGGUUUUGCUAUCACUUAUAGAUGGACCCGCGCCGUAUUAGCUAGUUGGUAAGGUAACGGCUUACCAAGGCAACGAUACGUAGCCGACCUGAGAGGGUGAUCGGCCACACUGGAACUGAGACACGGUCCAGACUCCUACGGGAGGCAGCAGUAGGGAAUCUUCCGCAAUGGGCGAAAGCCUGACGGAGCAACGCCGCGUGAGUGAUGAAGGUCCUCGGAUCGUAAAACUCUGUUAUUAGGGAAGAACAAAUGUGUAAGUAACUGUGCACGUCUUGACGGUACCUAAUCAGAAAGCCACGGCUAACUACGUG
rnacentral:rRNA from 1 species